AACCUAGCACACCUGCGGUGUGUACCUGCGGAAGGAUCAUUACACAACAAAAUAUGAAGGUCUGGCUUCGCGGCCGGCUGAAGUAUUUUUUUUCACCCAUGUCUUUUGCGCGCUUGUUGUUUCCUGGGCGGGUUCGCCCGCCACCAGGACCAAACCAUAAACCUUUUUUUUAUGUAGUUGCAAUCAGCGUCAGUAAAAACAAUGUAAUUAUUACAACUUUUAACAAUGGAUCUCAGAUCG
rnacentral:misc_RNA from 1 species